UACGUAGGGUGCAGGCGUUAUUCGGAAUUACUGGGCGUAAAGCGUGCGCAGGCGGUCUGCUAAGUGAGGUGUGAAAUCCCCGGGCUUAACCUGGGAACUGCGCUUGUAACUGGCAGGCUUGAGUGUGGCAGAGGGGGGUGGAAUUCCACGUGUAGCAGUGAAAUGCGUAGAGAUGUGGAGGAACACCGAUGGCGAAGGCAGCCCCCUGGGCUAACACUGACGCUCAUGCACGAAAGCGUGGGGAGCAAACAGG
rnacentral:rRNA from 1 species